UAAAAAUUUUUUCUGCAAUUUUUUCUUCAGAUGAAUAAGAUUGGUUCUUUGCUCAAGUAACCAGGAAAAUAGGUGAUAAUACAUACAAAGGAACUACGUGGCAAAUCAAAUUCACACUUGAGAAUGUAGAUCAAAGUGAAAUUAUUGGUACCUACAAAUUAAGACUCGCACUCGCAUCUGUACAUAACUCUGAAUUGCAGCUCCUCAUCUAGGAAAAUUUCUCUUCCUCCACACACGAUCUUAAAAUCACGGACAUGUGAUACUACACAGAUAUGAAAUUUCUAAAAAUAUAGGAUACAUCAUGUGGGAAUACGCAAAAUAUAUAAUUUUCAGUCACGAAUUCAGUUUUUGGAAUCUCAAUUGCAAGCUGCAGGCGUGCCCGUUGAUCCAGUUGUUGCACCCUCAAACCCAUUACAUAGGCAACAGGUUGAGGAUUCACUUAGUAGUCAUCCCACUGUUCGGUCAAUGUCACAUCAACAACAAUCUCAUGCAUUUUCAUCCCAAG